rnacentral:rRNA from 1 species
UACGUAGGUGGCGAGCGUUGUCCGGAUUUACUGGGCGUAAAGGGAGCGUAGGCGGACUUUUAAGUGAGAUGUGAAAUACCCGGGCUCAACUUGGAUGCUGCAUUUCAAACUGGAAGUCUAGAGUGCAGGAGAGGAGAAUGGAAUUCCUAGUGUAGCGGUGAAAUGCGUAGAGAUUAGGAAGAACACCAGUGGCGAAGGCGAUUCUCUGGACUGUAACUGACGCUGAGGCUCGAAAGCGUGGGGAGCAAACAGGAUUAGAUA